GUGGUUUGUCGCGUCGUCUGUGAAAUUCCGGGGCUUAACUCCGGGCGUGCAGGCGAUACGGGCAUAACUUGAGUACUGUAGGGGUAACUGGAAUUCCUGGUGUAGCGGUGAAAUGCGCAGAUAUCAGGAGGAACACCGAUGGCGAAGGCAGGUUACUGGGCAGUUACUGACGCUGAGGAGCGAAAGCAUGGGUAGCGAACAGGAUUAGAUACCCUGGUAGUCCAUGCCGUAAACGGUGGGCGCUAGGUGUGAGGGUCUUUUCACGACUCUCGUGCCGUAGCUAACGCAUUAAGCGCCCCGCCUGGGGAGUACGGCCGCAAGGCUAAAACUCAAAGGAAUUGACGGGGGCCCGCACAAGCGGCGGAGCAUGUGGAUUAAUUCGAUGCAACGCGAAGAACCUUACCUGGGCUUGACAUACACCGGAUCGGGCUAGAGAUAGUCUUUCCCUUUGUGGCUGGUGUACAGGUGGUGCAUGGUUGUCGUCAGCUCGUGUCGUGAGAUGUUGGGUUAAGUCCCGCAACGAGCGCAACCCUUGUCUUAUGUUGCCAGCAUUUGGUUGGGGACUCAUGAGAGACUGCCGGGGUCAACUCGGAGGAAGGUGGGGAUGACGUCAAAUCAUCAUGCCCCUUAUGUCCAGGGCUUCACACAUGCUACAAUGGUCGGUACAACGCGCAGCGACACUGUGAGGUGGAGCGAAUCGCUGAAAGCCGGCCUUAGUUCGGAUUGGGGUCUGCAACUCGACCCCAUGAAGUCGGAGUCGCUAGUAAUCG
rnacentral:rRNA from 1 species